rnacentral:rRNA from 1 species
UGGGGAAUAUUGCACAAUGGGCGAAAGCCUGAUGCAGCGACGCCGCGUGAGGGAUGACGGCCUUCGGGUUGUAAACCUCUUUCAGCAGGGAAGAAGCGAAAGUGACGGUACCUGCAGAAGAAGCGCCGGCUAACUACGUGCCAGCAGCCGCGGUAAUACGUAGGGCGCAAGCGUUGUCCGGAAUUAUUGGGCGUAAAGAGCUCGUAGGCGGUUAGUCGCGUCUGCUGUGAAAACUCGAGGCUCAACCUCGGGCUUGCAGUGGGUACGGGCUGACUAGAGUGCGGUAGGGGUGACUGGAAUUCCUGGUGUAGUGGUGGAAUGCGCAGAUAUCAGGAGGAACACCGAUGGCGAAGGCAGGUCACUGGGCCGCAACUGACGCUGAGGAGCGAAAGCAUGGGGAGCGAACAGGAUUAGAUAGCCCUGGUAGUCCAUGCCGUAAACGUUGGGCACUAGGUGUGGGGUCCA